rnacentral:rRNA from 1 species
UCCUACGGGGCGCAGCAGUGAGGAAUAUUGGUCAAUGGGCUUACGCCUGAACCAGCCAAGUCGCGUGAGGGAAGACUGCCCUAUGGGUUGUAAACCUCUUUUGUCAGGGAGCAAUUGGCGCUACGUGUAGCGUUAUCGAGAGUACCUGAAGAAAAAGCAUCGGCUAACUACGUGCCAGCAGCCGCGGUAAUACGUAGGGGGCAAGCGUUAUCCGGAUUUACUGGGUGUAAAGGGAGCGUAGGCGGUUUAGCAAGUCAGAAGUGAAAGCCCGGGGCUCAACUCCGGGACUGCUUUUGAAACUGUUG